AGUCUCGCUGACUUUAAGAGAAACGAAAGCCUUACGCACAGUCAGUUUGGUGUAAUGGAAGCCUCACUGAACUAGAAACCUGAGGAUGAUGCCGUCUGCUGAUUACAUUCUCUGUCACUCAGAACAACUGAGGCCAUUUUCUGUUCUGUAAAAUGGGAACUAAAAUACUUUCUGUAUCUCUUUUGUGGGGUAGUUGUAAGGAUCAAAUAUAGUAAAGAGUGAAAACACAUUAAUCUUAAGUGACACAAAGUUAUUUAAAGAAUGGAUUAGUGCUAUCCCAAUUAUUGACUUUUUUCCCCCUACGGUGGUCAUUUUUCUUUUUGAUUUUCAUUGAUGAUCUCUGCCCUCACUUCCUCUGAAUAAAGCCUUGGAACUUUUUUCAUAAUUGGAUACAAUUAGAAAGAAUCCCACAUCAAAUAGUGAGAUGCCUUAGCUAUUAUUAUUACGUUGUAAAAUGCCAAAGAAAACCAUUUAGGCAUGUGGGCCCCAUUUAGGGAUUUCUGUUUUAUAAGUCACGUUGGUGUAGAAGUGUGUGAGUAGAACUCCGCAAAUUAUACUUAGCAUUUACUCCUAAGUAAGCUGGUAAAUCUACGUGAAAGGAAGCCCAAGUCUCCAUUCUUGCUUCCAGUUCUCAUGCUUAUAAAGCGAACUGUGUCAGCCAAUUCCAGCAAAGCCAAAGGGGGAAGAUCUUUUUUGUAAGCUUCCUUUAACUGGCAACAUUUAGUGCACUACACUGAUAUCCCAACAACAUCGCAACGGCAACCUCAGGCAAGCCCUGCGCAUACCUUAACUUCCAGGCCUGGGCAGAGAACUUGGCUUGCGCCACCAGGAGUUAUCACGUGAGCUAAUUACAAUGCUAAUUAGCCCAGUUUACCGGGACUGCUGUGCAUUUGUACACGAGGGUUCUUUGUUUGAUCUGCUACAUCAUAAGCUUACCAGCACGGAGGGAUAGCAUGUAUCGUUGAACGUGGAAGAACACACCUUCAUCUGUAUUAAUGAAGAAAACUACUGAAAACCAACAGACUAAUUAAGGGUAAUGAUGAACAAUUUUGAUCAGCAAUUAUUUUUUUAAUACCGAAGUUCGCUCCUGGAAAGAGUAGAAUGGGGAAGUUCAUCUUCCAGCUUUCUCCCCAGAAAGGUAGUGAGAGAGAGAUCCUGCUUCAUUUCCAUUUCUUCUCCCACAAACUGUUUUAACAUAUAAUUGAACGGAUGCCUUUAUUUCAAAAGAAAAAAAAAUAAUUAUAGAGCUUGUUGGGAUCAUUUUCUGAAGAGAGGACAUUAUGCGUGCAUGAAUUCCAUCGGUGAUCUGAGGAGGAGCAGGAUGCUUGGACCAUUACCCAUCAUUGUCGAACAGCAGAGUAAUUAAUUGGGCAAAUACGUCCAGAUCUGGUGAAUUCACAUGCACAGUAACUGGGCAGCAGCAACACACACUCUUUUACUGUGAAUAAAAUAGCAAUAGUUUUAUGUGCCUUUGUGUUAUGUAAAUUUUUUUUUUUUUUCCUCUUGGCUUUAUCCAUUCCAGAUAUUUUGUCCAUCUUUAUGUACUCAUUUGCAAAGAGGUUGCUUAUUACAAAGGAAAAAGAUCUGCGGUUGAGCAAGUUUGAGUUCCAUGUCUCUGUUUAUUUUUAAAGGAAUGAAUUGGAUUCAUUAUUCCUUCACUAAUUUUUAAAAUAAUUUAAUAUUUUCACUAAAAUGGGUUAAAUGAGCAUGAGGAAAUAUUUUUUUUUAAAUAGUUCCAGGAAUGGGCGUGCUUCUAAAAUAAUUAUUAAGGCCUUCUAAUUACCAUACAAUAUUAAUUCAAAAAUUUAAUUUUUUUAUUUAAAUGUCAUCUACAGAGGUAAAAAAUAAGACACAGCAUUUGUCCUGGAGAAACUAAUGAAGAAUAUUUCAUUACCAACCUCUUAUAAUAGUCCUCUGUAAAGUAUAGACAAUCAAACAAUCUAACACUGUUUAUUUGAACAUCAAAAAGUGGACAAAUAUUUAGAGGAAAAAAUAUGAUUGUUUUAAUGCAAAUCAUCUCUGAUUGCUAAGUCCAAAUGUAAUAAGAAAGCUUAGGUUUUGAUUUAAAGGAAGUCAAUUUUCCAGCAUCUCCACUUCUGAAGAGGUUAAAUAAUGAUUUUUUUUUUUUUUCCGAUCACAUUUUAAUCCAGAUAACAGAGGACUUGCACUCCUAAUUCAGACUUUCUGGUAAAGCUCAGCUUGUCACAAUGUAUAGCUUUCUUUCCUUUGAUAAGGUCAGUUUGCCAAAAAGAACAAAGUGCAUAUGAGUAAUACAUUACUCAACCACUUGUAUACAUACAUCUAUUUUUCUUACCAGGUUUCACUAUUCAGAAAGGUACAGACAUGGCACCAUGAUAAAAAGGGUCAUUUAAAAGACUUCGCAGAGGCUCUGUACUGUGAAGGAUUGAAUUUUCACUUGAAUGCCUACAUUUUCACAUCUUUUUCUUUGCAGAAAUAUUCCUUUUGAAUGGCAGACUGCAAUUGGGUAGGUUUUUUUUUUUUUUUUAAGUCACUGACCAGGAAUAUAUAAAAUAUUAGAAGGCAUUUGUCCCAGUGGAAGAACACAGUUCACUACCAGGUACCAGGUGGUUAUUAAGAAAGUUAUACAACUUUGUCUCUUCAGAUUGAAGAGCUCCUUCAGAUAAAAGGCUUAAGUUCAGUCAAGGUGGAAGGAACACUAACGUCUGCCACUUCUAAAUGACAGACAAUUUAAAUAACUUGUGAAAUUAUUAGCCUCAAAGCCAUCUACCUAGUAAUUUUUCAUAAUCACAUCCAAUGUGUAUUCUUAGGAACACACAAGCAGACUCCAGUUUAUCUUUCUAUCUACUUCAACAUUUAAUCAUAACAUUUUGAGAAAUAUGCUCAUGACUAAUUUUAAAACCUUUAAUUUUUCUUUAGAGGUUUUAUAUUUCCCAAAUAUACUUAAAGGGGUGGGGAGGAGAGAAAAGUCUAUUAAAUACACUAAAACUUUUUAAUCUUGGUUAUUGGAUUCCCUAAGGAGUUAGUGUAAAUUCAGUUCAGUUGAAUGAAACAAAUAUUUCUUCAUCUCCUACUAUCAGUAUGGUAUUGUGCUGGGAUUAAGGGGAGAUACAAGAAUGAAUAAAGUAUCUUCUCCACUCUUAAGGAUUCUAGAAUCUAUUAAAAAAAAGUAAGGUGCACAACCAUAAUAAAAGCUAGAAUAUGAUGAAUAAGAAUAGAAAACCACAAAAUUCUGUCAGAAUAUAUCAAUGAAAUUUUUUCUGGCUGAAUCAAGGAAGACAUCAUAGAGGAGAAAAGAUGCAUUCGACUGCACUACAGUGGAGAAGGACAGGAAUAGUCUGAUAGAAUUGCUGCAUUCUAGAAAGGAAAAUGGCAAGAGAAAAAGCAUCAAGGUGGAAAAAAUGCAGGAGUUUUGGUGUGACACGGAGUCCAAUAUAAGCGGGACAGAGGGGGAAUAUAAGUUGCUUGAGGAGGAGCGAUGAAAAUCAAGUGUGAACCGCUAUGUUUACACUUGACAUUACUAAGGAGUUUGCUUGUGAUUCUACAGGCAAUUGUGAGCUUUAGAGCAACAGAAUGUCUAACAGAACUGUGAUUUGUGUAGCUUGUAAAAUACUGUUUCUUUCUUCUCAUGUAUAAUUUAUUUGUUUUUUCCUAUACUGUUAAUGAUUUUUCUUGAACUUCAAUUCUAUUAUUUCCCUUUCCUGUUGGAACUGAACCAGAUGACUAUAGAUAUCACGGACAAUAUAUCCCCCACACAAGUAUUCAUGUCCAAACUAAAUUGUUAUGAAACUUCACAGUAACAAUAAUGAUUUUAUGACACUAAGUCUAGUGGAAAUUGUGUAUUGUUAUUUUAUAAAAGUACUUAGAAUUACUUCUGAGUUAGGUGGAAUCAGAAAUAAAUUUCUUGGAAAGUGAAACAAGGAUACCUUGUUCAUAUUGUAUAACAAAACUAGAUGAAAAGGUAUUUUGGGGGCUUUUAAUAAAUAAACUUGCAAACCUA